AAUUGACUUGUAUUUUGAAAAAAAAAAAAAAAA
rnacentral:siRNA from 1 species